GUGGAUUAGAUACCCUAGUAGUCCACACCGUAAACGUUGGGCGCUAGGUGUGGGACUCAUUCCACGAGUUCCGUGCCGCAGCUAACGCAUUAAGCGCCCCGCCUGGGGAGUACGGCCGCAAGGCUAAAACUCAAAGGAAUUGACGGGGGCCCGCACAAGCGGCGGAGCAUGCGGAUUAAUUCGAUGCAACGCGAAGAACCUUACCUAGGUUUGACAUAUAGGGAAAUCUCCUGGAGACAGGAGGUCCGUAAGGGCUCUAUACAGGUGGUGCAUGGCCGUCGCCAGCU
rnacentral:rRNA from 1 species